CUUAAUACAUGCAAGUCGAGCGGGGUUACUGCGACAGAUCCCUUCGGGGUGACGUUGCUUUAACCUAGCGGCGGACGGGUGAGUAACGCGUGGGUAACCUACCCUAAAGCUCGGGAUAACAGUGGGAAACCGCUGCUAAUACCGGAUGACUUUAACCUAUGGCAUCAUGGGUUAAAGAAAGAUUUAUCGCUUUAGGAUGGGCCCGCGUCCCAUUAGCUAGUUGGUGAGGUAACGGCUCACCAAGGCGACGAUGGGUAGCCGGCCUGAGAGGGUGUACGGCCACACUGGGACUGAGACACGGCCCAGACUCCUACGGGAGGCAGCAGUAGGGAAUAUUGCGCAAUGGACGGAAGUCUGACGCAGCGACGCCGCGUGAGCGAUGAAGGCCUUCGGGUCGUAAAGCUCUGUCCUUGGGGAAGAAGGUCUUCGGACUUGACGGUACCCAAGAAGAAAGCCCCGGCUAACUACGUGCCAGCAGCCGCGGUAAUACGUAGGGGGCGAGCGUUGUCCGGAAUUACUGGGCGUAAAGGGUGCGUAGGCGGC
rnacentral:rRNA from 1 species